GAUGAAAGAGCGGGAGGCAUUCUUCGAAUGGCGCUCUGACAUUAUUUGAAUCUGAGUAUGGUGCGACUUCACCAGCCAGCGGGCGUUCAGCCGCUGGCUUUUUUC
rnacentral:sRNA from 1 species